rnacentral:rRNA from 1 species
AAGGCAAUGAUGCAUAGCCCGAGUUGAGAGACUGAUCGGGCCACAUUGGGGACUGAGACACGGGACCCAAAACUCCUACGGGGAGGCAGCAGUAGGGAAUCUUCCACAAUGGACGCAAGUCUGAUGGAGCAACGCCGCGUGAGUGAAGUAAGGGUUUCGGCUACGUAAAGCUCUGUUGGUAGUGAAGAAAGAUAGAGGUAGUAACUGGCCUUUAUUUGACGGUUAAUUACUUAGAAAGUCACGGCUAACUACGUGCCAGCAGCCGCGGUAAU